GGGCUUGUAAAGGUUUCGACGGGGGUUUUGAAAUUGUGGCAGCCAUCCGAAGGCACCGCGCAAGGUGCAACCAUAAAUAUAAACGCUGAAGAUAAUUUAGCAAUCGCUGCCUGAGGCAGCUGUCUGACGCAGGGCACCUGCACCCUGUGACCCAGGCAUCGAUCAUGCAGGAAACGACGUAUGCUAAGCUUUGCGCAUGCGGGCGUAUCAUGAAGCUACUGAAGCUGUAAGCCUGUCGUCUGGCGUGCAGUGGAGGGAAUGACAAAGAAACGACUGUGAUGGGAGACACCGCAAUGGAUGGGCUUUCGGACAGGGGUUCGAUUCCCCUCAGGUCCAGUA
rnacentral:tmRNA from 1 species